rnacentral:pre_miRNA from 13 species
UUACCUGGGUCAAGUAGGCAGUGUGAUGUUUGCUGGCUGCUUUGAAUCGAUUCAGCAGCCACCGUUACUCUGCCACUUGCUACUAGGCGGA